rnacentral:rRNA from 1 species
UACGGGGGGAGCAAGCGUUGUUCGGAUUUACUGGGCGUAAAGGGCGCGUAGGCGGUCAGCACAAGUCAGUUGUGAAAUCUCCGGGCUUAACUCGGAAAGGUCAACUGAUACUGUGCGACUAGAGUGCAGAAGGGGCAACUGGAAUUCUCGGUGUAGCGGUGAAAUGCGUAGAUAUCGAGAGGAACACCUGCGGCGAAGGCGGGUUGCUGGGCUGACACUGACGCUGAGGCGCGAAGGCCAGGGGAGCGAACGGG